UGCCGAUCUUUGGUUGGGGAACUCUAACUUUUAUGCUCUUCUUGUGGUGCAUUUGUUUUUGCCGUACUAGAUUUUUCUUCCUUUUUGUAUUUAGUUUUGAUGUGUUUUUUUUUUUUUGUGUGUAGUGGUGUUGUAUAGUUGUUGUUUUUUUCUAUUUCUUUUUAGUUGGUUGCUUUAAUACUUCUUAUGUCUUCACCGAUCUCCUCUUUGUUUAUUUGGUCUUAGUGUCUCUUCUAUCUAUAUAUUAUAUUUACUUUUAAAAUAAAAAGUAGCACCGCACAAUAGAGAAUUAAACAAGAAAAAUAAAUUUUGUCGUUAUAUUUUUAUAUUAAAUGAUCUAAAAUAAAAAACUAAGUAAAGGGAAAUGUGCUGUUGAC
rnacentral:lncRNA from 1 species